rnacentral:rRNA from 1 species
AUACGGAGGAUCCGAGCGUUAUCCGGAUUUAUUGGGUUUAAAGGGAGCGUAGGCGGACGCUUAAGUCAGUUGUGAAAGUUUGCGGCUCAACCGUAAAAUUGCAGUUGAUACUGGGUGUCUUGAGUACAGUAGAGGCAGGCGGAAGUCGUGGUGUAGCGGUGGAAUGCUUAGAUAUCACGAAGAACACCGAUUGCGAAGGCAGCCUGCUGGACUGUAACUGACGCUGAUGCUCGAAAGUGUGGGUAUCAAACAGGAUUAGAUACCCUGGUAGUCCACACAGUAAACGAUGAAUACUCGCUGUUUGCGAUAUACAGUAAGCGGCCAAGCGAAAGCGUUAAGUAUUCCACCUGGGGAGUACGCCGGCAACGGUGAAACUCAAAGGAAUUGACGGGG